rnacentral:rRNA from 1 species
UUAGGAAACUUUUGCAAUGCGCGAAAGCGUGACAAAGCAAGCCAGAGUGCUUUUCUAUAAUUGAAAAGCUUUUGUGAGAUGCAAAAAGUCUCACGAAUAAGGACCGGGCAAGACUGGUGCCAGCCGCCGCGGUAAUCCCAGCGGUCCAAGUCGCAGCCACAUUUGUUGGGUCUAAAACAUCCGUAGCUUGCCUUGUAAGUCUUUUGUGAAAUCGGGCCUCUUAAGGGUCCGGCGAGCAGAAGAUACUGUAAGGCUAGAGACCGGGGGACGUAAGGAGUACGAACGGGGUAGCGGUAAAAUGCGUUGAUCCCUUUCGGACUAACAACAGCGAAGGCACCUUACGACAACGGAUUUGACAGUGAGGGAUGAAGGCUAGGGGCGCAAAGUGG